rnacentral:rRNA from 1 species
AAACCGGCAGCUCUAGUGGUAACAAUUUUUAUUGGGCCUAAAGCGUCCGUAGCCGGUUUAAUAAGUCUCUGGUGAAAUCCUUCAGCUUCACUGUGGGAAUUGCUGGAGAUACUAUUAGACUUGAGACCGGGAGAGGAUAGAGGAACUCCGAGGGUAGAGGGGAAAUCCUGUAAUCCUGGGAGGACAGCCUGUUGCGAAGGCGUCUAACUGGAACGGUUCUGACGGUGAGGGACGAAAGUUAGGGGCGCGAACCGGAUUAGAUACCCGGGUAGUCCUAACUGUAAACGAUGCGGACUUGGUGUUGGGGUGGCUUUGAGCUGCUUCAGUGCCGAAGGGAAGCUGUUAAGUCCGCCGCCUGGGAAGUACGGUCGCAAGACUGAAACUUAAAUGAAUUGGCGGGG